UACGGGGGGGGCAAGCGUUGUUCGGAAUUACUGGGCGUAAAGAGCUCGUAGGUGGUUUGUCGCGUUGUUCGUGAAAACCGGGGGCUUAACCCUCGGCGUGCGGGCGAUACGGGCAGACUUGAGUACUGCAGGGGAGACUGGAAUUCCUGGUGUAGCGGUGAAAUGCGUAGAUAUUGGGAGGAACACCAGUGGCGAAGGCGGCUCACUGGACCGGUACUGACGCUGAUGCGCGAAAGCGUGGGGAGCAAACGGG
rnacentral:rRNA from 1 species